rnacentral:rRNA from 1 species
AACGAACGUUAGCGGCGCGCCUAACACAUGCAAGUCGCACGAGAAAGGGCUUCGGCCCCGGUACAGUGGCGCACGGGUGAGUAACACGUAGAUAAUCUUCCCUCGAGUGGUGGAUAACUCUCCGAAAGGAGAGCUAAUACAGCAUGAGACCACGGCUUCGUUGAAGCUGCGGCCAAAGCAGGCCUCUACACGUAAGCUUGCGUUUGAGGAUGAGUCUGCGGCCCAUCAGCUAGUUGGUAGGGUAAUGGCCUACCAAGGCUAAGACGGGUAGCUGGUCUGAGAGGAUGAACAGCCACACUGGAACUGAGACACGGUCCAGACUCCUACGGGAGGCAGCAGUGGGGAAUCUUGCGCAAUGGGCGAAAGCCUGACGCAGCGACGCCGCGUGAGCGAUGAAGGCCUUCGGGUUGUAAAGCUCUGUGGGGAGGAAAGAAUAAGGUUUGGCUAAUAUCCAAGCUGAUGACGGUACCUCCUUAGCAAGCACCGGCUAACUCUGUGCCAGCCGCCGCCGUAA